rnacentral:rRNA from 1 species
UGGGGAAUUUUGGACAAUGGGCGAAAGCCUGAUCCAGCAAUGCCGCGUGUGGGAAGAAGGCCUUCGGGUUGUAAACCACUUUUGUACGGAACGAAACGGUUCGCUUUAAUACAGUGGGCUAAUGACGGUACCGUAAGAAUAAGCACCGGCUAACUACGUGCCAGCAGCCGCGGUAAUACGUAGGGUGCGAGCGUUAAUCGGAAUUACUGGGCGUAAAGCGUGCGCAGGCGGUUAUAUAAGACAGUUGUGAAAUCCCCGGGCUCAACCUGGGAAUUGCAUCUGUGACUGUAUAGCUAGAGUACGGUAGAGGGGGAUGGAAUUCCGCGUGUAGCAGUGAAAUGCGUAGAUAUGCGGAGGAACACCGAUGGCGAAGGCAAUCCCCUGGACCUGUACUGACGCUCAUGCACGAAAGCGUGGGGAGCAAACAGGAUUAGAUACCCUGGUAGUCCACGCCCUAAACGAUGUCAACUGGUUGUUGGGUGCAUUAGUACUCAGUAACGAAGCUAACGCGUGAAGUUGACCGCCUGGGGAGUACGGCCGCAAGGUUG